UACGUAGGGUGCAAGCGUUGUCCGGAAUUAUUGGGCGUAAAGAGCUCGUAGGCGGUUUGUCGCGUCUGCUGUGAAAACUCGAGGCUCAACCUCGGGCGUGCAGUGGGUACGGGCAGACUAGAGUGCGGUAGGGGAGAUUGGAAUUCCUGGUGUAGCGGUGGAAUGCGCAGAUAUCAGGAGGAACACCAAUGGCGAAGGCAGAUCUCUGGGCCGAAACUGACGCUGAGGAGCGAAAGCUAGGGGAGCGAACGGG
rnacentral:rRNA from 1 species